rnacentral:ribozyme from 1 species
UGGCAGUCUAUCCUUGCACUCAAGUCUUGGAGCUGGUGGCUACGCCAAGCUGAAGGACUCUGAAUUGCAACUUCCAAAAAAGGUGUGCUUCUUCUGGAAGCGGGGCA